rnacentral:rRNA from 1 species
CCUACGGGUGGCAGCAGUAGGGAAUAUUGCUCAAUGGGGGAAACCCUGACGCAGCAACGCCGCAUGGAGGAUGAAGGUUUUCGGAUUGUAAACUCCUUUUGUUAGAGAAGAAAAUGACGGUAUCUAACGAAUAAGCACCGGCUAACUCCGUGCCAGCAGCCGCGGUAAUACGGAGGGUGCAAGCGUUACUCGGAAUCACUGGGCGUAAAGAGCGCGUAGGCGGGAUAGCAAGUCAGAUGUGAAAUCCUAGGGCUUAACCAUAGAACUGCAUUUGAAACUGUUAUUCUAGAGUAUGGGAGAGGUAGGUGGAAUUCUUGGUGUAGGGGUAAAAUCCGUAGAGAUCAAGAGGAAUACUCAUUGCGAAGGCGACCUGCUAGAACAUAACUGACGCUGAUGCGCGAAAGCGUGGGGAGCAAACAGGAUUAGAUACCCCAGUAGUC